GACGAUCAUUAGCGGGUAGCAAUAUCUGCUAGUGGGAGUGGCGCAAGGGUGCGUAACACGUGGGCAAUCUGCCGUGAAGUUUGGGAUAACUUGCUGAAAGGCGAGCUAAUACCGGAUGUGACAACCUGGGGGCAUCUCUGGGUUGUUAAAGUUGGGGACCGCAAGGCCUGACGCUUCACGAUGAACCCGCGGCCUAUCAGCUAGUUGGUGAGGUAACGGCUCACCAAGGCUAAGACGGGUAGCUGGUCUGAGAGGACGACCAGCCACACUGGAACUGAGACACGGUCCAGACACCUACGGGUGGCAGCAGUCGAGAAUUUUUCACAAUGGGCGAAAGCCUGAUGGAGCAACGCCGCGUGGGGGAUGAAUGGCUUCGGCUCGUAAACCCCUGUCAUUCGCGAUCAACCCUUAUUAUUUAAAAGAUGAUGAGCUGAUAGUAGCGGAAGAGGAAGGGACGGCUAACUCUGUGCCAGCAGCCGCGGUAAUACAGAGGUCCCGAGCGUUGUUCGGAUUCACUGGGCGUAAAGGGUGCGUAGGUGGUGGGGUAAGUCGGAUGUGAAAUCUCCAAGCUCAACUUGGAAAUGGCAUUGGAAACUGCCCUGCUAGAGGAUCGGAGGGGGGACUGGAAUACUUGGUGUAGCAGUGAAAUGCGUAGAUAUCAAGUGGAACACCAGUGGCGAAGGCGAGUCCCUGGACGAUACCUGACACUGAGGCACGAAAGCUAGGGGAGCAAACAGGAUUAGAUACCCUGGUAGUCCUAGCCGUAAACGGUGCACGUUUGCUGUAAAAGGAAUCGACCCC
rnacentral:rRNA from 1 species